rnacentral:rRNA from 1 species
UACGAGGGGGGCAAGCGUUGUUCGGAAUUACUGGGCGUAAAGGGCGCGUAGGCGGCCUUCUAAGUCAGACGUGAAAUCCCUCGGCUCAACCGGGGAACUGCGUCUGAGACUGGAAGGCUUGAAUCCGGGAGAGGGAUGUGGAAUUCCAGGUGUAGCGGUGAAAUGCGUAGAUAUCUGGAGGAACACCGGUGGCGAAGGCGGCAUCCUGGACCGGUAUUGACGCUGAGGCGCGAAAGCCAGGGGAGCAAACGGG